UUGGAGGGCAAGUCUGGUGCCAGCAGCCGCGGAAAUUCCAGCUCCAAUAGCGUAUAUUAAAGUUGUUGCAGUUAAAAAGCUCGUAGUUGAACCUCGGGGUCUACCCAUUGGUCAGGCUUAAUUGUCUGCACUGGUGAGAUGGAUCUCUACCUUCUGAGGAACUUUCAUGCCAUUCAUUUGGUGUGAUGGGAAAUCAGGACUGUUACUUUGAAAAAAUUAGAGUGUUUAAAGCAGACUAUCGUCUGAAUACAUUAGCAUGGAAUAAUGAAAUAGGACGGACUGAUUCUAUUUCGUUGGUUUCUAGGAUCACCGUAAUGAUUAAUAGGGAUAGUUGGGGGCAUUAGUAUUCAAUUGUCAGAGGUGAAAUUCUUGGAUUUAUUGAAGACUAACUACUGCGAAAGCAUUUGCCAAGGAUGUUUUCAUUAAUCAAGAACGAAAGUUAGGGGAUCGAAGACGAUCAGAUACCGUCGUAGUCUUAACCAUAAACUAUGCCGACUAGGGAUCGGACGAAGUUAAUUUUAUAAUGACGCGUUCGGCGCCUUACGGGAAAC
rnacentral:rRNA from 1 species